rnacentral:rRNA from 1 species
CACGUAGGGUGCGAGCGUUGUCCGGAAUUAUUGGGCGUAAAGAGCUCGUAGGCGGUGUGUCGCGUCGGCCGUGAAAACCUGCAGCUUAACUGUGGGCUUGCGGUCGAUACGGGCAUCACUGGAGUUCGGCAGGGGAGACUGGAAUUCCUGGUGUAGCGGUGAAAUGCGUAGAUAUCUGGAGGAACACCGGUGGCGAAGGCGGCAUCCUGGACCAUGACUGACGCUGAGGAGCGAAAGCCAGGGGAGCAAACAGG